GCCAGGCAUGGUGGCCAUGCCUGUAGUCCCUGCUACUCAGGAGGUAGAGGCAGGAGGAUCGCUUGAGCUCAGGAGUUCAAGGCUAUAGUGCACUAUGGCCGUGCCUGUGAAUAGCUACUGCACCCCAGCCUGGGCAACAAAGCAAUACCUUGUCUCUA
rnacentral:SRP_RNA from 1 species